GCCAGACCCACCACACUUAGCCAAAGCGACAGCAGCUGCCGAAAGACAAAGCAAGGAUCCAGCAUUAAUCCUAUCAUGAGAGCUUCACUCUUAUAAUCUAAUUACCUCCCAAAGCUCCACCUUCUAAUACCGUCACACUGGGAAUUAGAAUUUCAACAUACGAAUUUGAAGGUGUAGGGGGAAGAAACCUCCAAUCCAUAAGAGAAGAGAAAGGAGGAGAAGGAAAACAAAAAAAAGGAAGAUGGAGUUUCACUCUGGUUGUCCAAGCUAGAGUGAAAUAGCCUGAUCUUGGCUCACUGCUACCUCUGCCUCCCGGGUUCAAGCGAUUCUCCUGCCUCAUCCUUCUGAGAAGCUGUAACUACAGGUAUGUGCCUCCACGCUUGGCUAAUUUUUUGUAUUUUUAGUAGAGACUGGGUUUUUACCAUGUUGGCUAGGCUGGUCUCGAACUCCUGACCUAAGGUGAUUAGCUGGACUCAGCCUCCCAAAGUGCUGGGAAUACAGGCGAGAGCCACCGUGCCCAGCUGUUUUUGCCAUUUUGAUAGAUGUAUAGUGGUGUCUCAUGGUCGAAAUACACAUUUCCUAAUGACCAGUGAAAUUGAACAU